rnacentral:rRNA from 1 species
UGCAUAUCAAUAAGCGCGGAGGAAAAGGAACCAACAGGGAUUGCCUUAGUAACGGCGAGUGAAGCGGCAAAAGCUCAAUUUGAAAUCGCUUCGGCGAGUUGUAAGUGAAGUGGUUAAGCUUUGAUGUAAGUUUCCUGGAACGGAACGCCAUAGAGGGUGAUAGCCCCGUUGUCUUUGCUUAAUGUGCUACUUCAGAGCGAGUCGAGUUGUUUGGGAAUA